CCUACGGGAGGCAGCAGUGAGGAAUAUUGGUCAAUGGACGAGAGUCUGAACCAGCCAAGUAGCGUGAAGGAUGACUGCCCUAUGGGUUGUAAACUUCUUUUAUAAAGGAAUAAAACGAGGCACGUGUGCCUCUUUGCAUGUACUUUAUGAAUAAGGAUCGGCUAACUCCGUGCCAGCAGCCGCGGUAAUACGGAGGAUCCGAGCGUUAUCCGGAUUUAUUGGGUUUAAAGGGAGCGUAGACGGGUUGUUAAGUCAGUUGUGAAAGUUUGCGGCUCAACCGUAAAAUUGCAAUUGAUACUGGCAGUCUUGAGUACAGUUGAGGUAGGCGGAAUUCGUGGUGUAGCGGUGAAAUGCUUAGAUAUCACGAAGAACCCCGAUUGCGAAGGCAGCUUACUAAACUGUGACUGACGUUGAUGCUCGAAAGUGUGGGUAUCAAACAGGAUUAGAUACCCUGGUAGUC
rnacentral:rRNA from 1 species